CUUUUCUAUUUCAGAAUUGAUCCUCCAAAAUUUGAAUGCUUAGACCGAAAAUAUGUGGUUAUACUUUUGGAUCUAUGUUAAUUAUGGUUACCUUCAUCAAUAAUUAGUCCUUGAUCGUUUUGCAUCAGCGAGCUCUGCUGCUAACAAGUGUGGAUGAACAAAAUAGUGAGAUAAACCCUAAAUCGAGAUUUCGAUUGUAGGGUUUGUUAUCUAAUUACUUUUACUUUUGGCUCUGCAUUUUAUUAAUCAGGAAUUUCUUAGUGUUUUAUGGGAUUUUUCAACCAAUCAUGCUACUGAUUAAGCUAAAUUUCUGAACGGUCAAGCAUAUUUCACCACUACUGAAAUUCAUGUCCUUUAUUAAAUGAUUUCUUGUUCUUUGCGUUAUUCUUGAUUGGGAUUUUGUGUUGAAAUAAUGUUUUGCUUCCUACACUGUCUCCUUGAUGUGGUGAGAGGAUGGGAAGAGCGUGUGAUUUCUCAGAGAAAGGGCAGCCGCAUUGUUCACUUUACCUUAAGGGACUCUACUGGGAGUUACCUCCUUGUUGUGGUCGGGGUAGAAAGGAAUGCAAAUUGUAUAAUCUAUUUGAUGGGAAUAAGGAGUUACCUCCUUGUUGUGGUCGGGCUUCAAGUUUCUCACAUCAGUGACCUCAGGAAGCUGUUCAAUCUUAUGCCUCACUGCCUUUGUGCCUCAUGUAUAAUGGAGUCGAAGGUCUUCAUAUUAAAGUUACAGAGUUUGCCUCGUCUGUGGUCCUGGUGUUCUAGUCGAGUUGGAGAAGUCUAUUACUUUAAAAAAGUUCAUCUAUCAACUAGAAGAUCACCCUCGUCUGCUCCUGACUAGAUGGAGCGUCUCAUACAGGGGGAAAAGGUUAUACACGCAAGCACCUCCUGAAUUAGAAAAGGACACUCGAUCUAACCUAGAUGUCCCUCUAUUCGAUCUUAUGAAUGGAGUAUCCAGGGAUAUUAUAAUGUUAAUGGCAUGGCAGGUAUGGGAGAAGCAAUCUUCUAUGAGGAAACUACGUAUUGCAUUCAAGGGGGUUGAUGGAAUUGCAGAUAUUGAUAUGGCUGGUGGGGCAUAACCUCUCACCAUCUCAAGAGAUAUAGAACGUGGAUCCUUGGUCAUGCGUGCUAUAUUGUUGCUGCCACUACACUUUCAGAUCUUCAAGGUGAUCAACGAUGAUGAUGAUGAUGUUCGAAGAAGAUUGAUAUGGUCUAGGAUUUGGUGAUAUACAACAAUGCAUUGCUUGGCCGUAUUCCAAUAGAAUGGGAUGAAGAACUAAUUAGGUCGUAUUCGAAUUUGUCUACAAUUGGAGACGCAAUCGGAACAUGCAUUGCUUGGCCUCGCCACUUGGUGAAAGCUAAUGACGAUUUGGAUUGAUGAAAAGAUGAAUAGCUUUGAAAGUGGAGUCUAGAGGUCCCAUUCUAAAACAGUUGGUACCAAAGAGAACCUAUUCUAAAACAGUUGAUAUAGUAUUCACUAUGUAAUAAGCUUCUUUACUCAUGAUUGAGUUCUUUACCAAAAUAUUCCUUGGUGAUGUCUGAAAUUUCAGAUUUGAAAUAAAGCAUUGUUAUAUUGGGAUUAA